UGUUAAAUUUUUUAUCAAUUUCUAUUAUUAAAAGCUGCCAUGGCUGAUAGAAUGACUAAACAGUGAUACGUGAUGUGUCACAUGUAUCUCAUGCUAAUAUACAAGAACUCAGUUCUUAAUAGUAAAUAUGAAUGAAAUUUGUAAUU
rfam:Gossypium hirsutum cultivar TM-1 scaffold7522.1_1, whole genome shotgun sequence